rnacentral:antisense_RNA from 1 species
GGGCUGGUUGAGCUGCGCCGCUGCAGGUAGUGCUGAGUUGCUCCAGUGCCACUGGGUUAGGGUCUCCACAAUCGAGCUGGUCUCAGCAAGUGUUGUCCAUACAUGGGGCUCGAACCUGGGUCGAAGGGUCGCCAGAGCGACGGUUGGAGAACGUGGAACUAAGCUGGAGGACACCUGAGUACUCUUAAGCAAUCCCCGUGGAGGAGUUAAUCCUUGAGGAUUGGAACCUAAUUAUCUUUGGCAAAUGGAUGUCACCCACGUUCCCUCGUUUGGGCGAUUAGCUUAUGUACAUGUAUGUGUGGACACUUUUUCUCACUUUGUCUGGGCUACAUGCCAAUCAGGAGAGUCUUCUGCCUGUGUUAAACGUCACCUUUUGCAGUGUUUUGCGGUGACGGGCAUUCCAGCUUCUAUUAAAACAGAUAAUGUCCCAGGCUAUACUAGCCAAGCUCUAGCUACAUUUUUCUCUAUAUGGAAUAUUAAACACAUUACUGGAAUCCCGUAUAAUUCUCAAGGACAAGCCAUAGUGGAAAGAAUGAAUCUCUCCCUGAAACAGCAGUUGCAAAAGCAAAAAGGGGGAAAUAGGGACUAUGGGAUACCCCAUAUGCAAUUGAAUCUAGUAUUAUUGACUUUAAAUGUUUUGAGACUGCCUGAAGGCCAGAUGCUAUCAGCAGCUGAAUAGCAUGUACAGAAACCAGCUGCAAAGACAGAAGCAGAACAACUGGUUUGGUGGAGAGAUCUGAUGACAAAAAGUUGGGAAAUGAGUAGAAUAAUAACUUGGGGUAGAGGUUAUCCUUGUGUUUCUCCAGGACUGAAUCAACAGCCAAUUUGGAUAUCAUCAAGGCACCUGAAACCUUAUCAUGAGCCUGAUGCCGAGGAAGAGAUUCUGGGAGGAUCCCCCAGUUGCAGCCAUGUUGAGACUGACGCUGAGGAGGACCCCAGCUGUCACGAGCAACACCCACCAAAUGCAGCCACCUACCUGGGGACAGAUCAAGAAGCUGUCACAGAUGGCAGAAGAAAACCUAAGGAAAGUGG